rnacentral:lncRNA from 1 species
UUGUACACCGGCUAUAAUUUAUGAAACGGAGCCCCAGAUCCAGCCAAUCAUUUAGCUCCUCAUAACAAGUCUGACUGGCUCUGGAAAGCUGAAAGGGCUGCGCUAGAGCAACAAGGAUGAGAUAGUCCACACAAUCGUCGGCUUCUCCGGAAUCACUUGGCCCUGCGAGGCCAGAGAAAAAUCACAGCUUCGCUGUCACAGGGAAGGAGGGCAGAUGACCCGGAAAAACGUGACUGGAUCUGGAGCGA